CUACAAUUAUUAAUUGGCAAUUGGCAGCUCCCAUUUGUCUAGCUCAACUUUACUCUCUUAGUCAACUUACCAAGUAAGAGCAAGAUCAUAGCUGCUGCAGCCAUGGCAGAUGUAGCAGUGAAUUUCCUAGUAGAAAACUUGAUGCAUUUAAUAAUCGACAACGCUGGCUUGAUUAUUGGAAUAAAAGGUGAAGUUGAACAUUUACUACAUGAUCUGAAUGACUUCAAUGCUUUUCUCAAACAAGCAGCUAAAUCCAGGAGAGACAAUGAAGUCUUGAAAUCACUAGUAAAGAAGAUAAGUAAAGUGGUAAAUGAUGCCGAAGAUUCAAUUGAUAAGUUUGUGAUUGAAGCUAAAAGACAUGACGAUAUGAACAAAUUUGCUCAGUGGUUUCAUCUUACUCAUGUUACUAGAGCUAAAGGGGUUGCUGAUGAGAUUAAUACUAUUAGGGAAAGGGUGAAGGUAAUUCGCGAAAAUGAUGCUUAUGGACUUCAAGCUAUUACUUUUGAUGAUAAUUUCAACAAAGGUGCUCAGGAGAGGAAGGUUCCUGUAGUUGAGGAAGACAAUGUGGGAGGCUUUGAUGAGGAAGUGAAAACUGUAAUUGAUCGUCUCAUUGGAGGAUCGGAUCAUCUUGAGGUUGUACCAAUCGUUGGUAUGCCUGGUCUUGGAAAAACAACUUUGGCAUAUAAGAUUUACAAGGAUCCUAAGGUUGAGUGUGAGUUCUUCCCCUGCAUUUGGGUAAAUGUCUCUCAAUUGUACAAGAGAAGGGAAAUAUUUCUGAACAUCAUCAGCAAAUUUACUCGAAACUCCAAACAGUACUAUGAUGUACCAGAGGAUGAUUUAGCAGAUGAAGCACGGGAGCUUUUGGGCAAGGGUGGGAAAUAUCUUAUUGUUUUAGACGAUGUAUGGACGAUGGAAGCUUGGGAUCGCAUUAAAAUUGCUUUCCCCGAUAACGGUAAAUGCAGUAGAGUCUUGAUGACCACUACGCACCGCAAUGUUGCCAGAUAUUGCAAUGAUAAACCUCACUAUGUAAAGUUUCUAACUAAAAAUGAAAGUUGGGAGCUACUUGAGAAGAAGGUUUUUUACAAGGAGAAGUGUCCACGUGAGUUAGAAUUACCUGGAAAAUCUAUAGCCGAAAAUUGUAGGGGCUUACCACUUGCAAUAGUUGUUAUUGCCGGAGCUUUGAUGGGCAAAGGAAAGACAACAAGGGAGUGGAAGCUGGUGGCUGACAGUGUGGGUGAGCACCUGAUAAAUAGAGAUCCAGAGAACUGCAAGAAAUUGGUGCAGAUGAGUUAUGAUUGUUUGCCUUAUGAUUUAAAGAUGUGCUUCUUAUAUUGUGGCACUUUUCCUGGUGGUUCUGAAAUUUCAGCUCGGAAGUUGAUUAGUUUAUGGAUCGCGGAAGGAUUCAUACACUACAACAGACCAUUGACUCUAGAGGAUGUAGCAGAGGACCACUUGAAUUAUCUUGUCAAUAGGAACUUAGUGAUGGUAAUGCAGAGGGGUUCUAGUGGUCAAAUUAAAACAUGUCGUGUUCAUGACAUAUUGCGUGAGUUCUGCAGACAUGAGGCUAUGAUGGAGGAAAAUCUUUUUCAGGAAAUCAAACGAGGGCAGGAACAUUCUUUUCCAGAGAAACAAGAGUUAGCCACUUAUCGUCGCUUGUGUAUUCAUUCCUCUGUUUCUGAAUUCUUAUCAACAAAACCCUUUGGUGAGCAUGUUAGGUCGUUCUUAUGCUUUGCCUCGAAAAAAUUUGAGAUGCCUUUAGGUGAUAUAAUCCCCCGAGCCUUUCCCUUGCUUAGGGUACUAGAUGCGGAAUCAAUCAAGUUCAGUCGUUUUCCUAAAGAAUUCUUCAAAUUAUUCCAUUUGAGGUACAUGGCUUUCUCAACUGACUCGAUUAUGACCAUUCCUUCAAACAUUGGGAAUCUUUGGAAUGUACAAACACUUAUAAUUGAGACACAACAGGGUACUCUUGACAUUAAAGCAGACAUUUGGAAUAUGACAACAUUAAGGCAUGUGUGCACAAAUGCCUCUGCUAUAUUGCCAUCCCCUAAGCACUCCAAGAGCAGAAAGGAGGUGAAUCAUUACCUACAAACACUUUCUACUAUAGCACCUGAAUGUUGCACUGCAGAAAUUUUUACUAGAACUCCUAAUCUCAAGAAAUUAGGUGUUCGUGGAAAAAUAGCUGCACUUCUAGAAACCAGUAAGGAUGGAUCUGGCUCUGGUUUGUUCGGCAACAUAGGCAAGUUAGAUUGCCUCGAAAAUCUGAAGUUGGUAAAUGAUACUCGUCAAAGUGGUAAACAGCUACACCUUCCUCCAGCAUAUAUUUUUCCUCAGAAGCUGAAAAAGCUCACUCUGAUAGAUACUUGGUUCGAAUGGAAAGAUAUGUCUAUAUUAGGUCUAUUAGAGUACCUUGAAGUGCUGAAGCUGAAACAAAAUGCAUUUAGGGGACAGUCGUGGGAACCCGAGGAUGGUGGUUUUCCUUGUCUGCAAGUCCUAUGGAUUGAAAGGACAGAUCUAUCUUCUUGGAAGGCCUCAUCCGGGAACUUUCCACAACUAAAACGCCUUGUUCUUAUAUCAUGUGAUAAGCUUGAGGAACUCCCAGCUGCACUUGCUGAUGCGCAAAGCCUCCAGCUAAUGGAACUGCACUAUACCAGUGAAUCUGCCGCUAAAUCUGCACGAGUAAUACUAAAGAGGCGACUAAGAAAAGAAGAGGGUAGCACUAACAGAUGCGGAUGCAAGCUUUCUGUAUUCCCUCCAGAUCUUGGAUUGUAACUUUAAGAACUGCUUCAUUGGCACUUGAUAGCAGUCUCGUGAGUUUGAGCGAAUUUGUGUUAGCUUGUGCUUGAUAUCUGUAAGGCAGGAGCUAGACAUCAGGUUUUGAAGUUGUGUGAGAACUUUGAAAUUGGAGAAUAUAAAAAAUGGGCAAGAAGUCAUCACCUUAGAGCUAAAAUUGGAGAAAGUUGAAGCAAAAAGACUUUUAGUCAGACCGUUGGACGCGGUUACGGUUCAAGAGAAGCUUGAAGAGUUUAAGAAAUGAAACUUUUGGAAUUCGUUACGGUUCAGCUGUCUCACGGUUGGCCCAACAUGGCAAUUAUUUUUCACUUUUUGGACUUGGUAUAAAUAGCUAUUUUAAGUCAUUCUAGGGCAUCUUUUUGGCAAGAAUAUUUUGUGUAGCAGCUUUUGGGAUUCUUCUUUGGGAUUUUGGGUGACUUCACCAUUGUUCUACACAAUCUUUUUUUCCUCUUUAGCUAUUAUGUUUGGUUUUUCA